AAGGCUAUCGGGAUGCUAAGGUCUGAAGUUGCACCUGCAGAGGCCACUGCUGCCCUUCAGACGCUUUUCAAGAUCAUCAGGAAUGCAAUUGACCAUCCAAACGAGACCAAGUAUAGGAGAUUAAGAAAGGCUAAUCCACAUUUCCAAAGGAACGUUGCAAAUCAUAAAGCGGCCAUGGAGCUUCUCACCGUUGUCGGCUUCUGCGAAGAUGUUAUAUCUGAUGAAGUUGGGAGAGCAGAAACUUACUUGGUUCUGAAGAGGAAUGACCCCGGCCUGUUGUGGCUGGCUAAAUCCUCUCUUGAGCUUUCUAUAGCUUAGUCCUUG
rnacentral:misc_RNA from 1 species